rnacentral:rRNA from 1 species
GACGGAGGAUGCAAGUGUUAUCCGGAAUCACUGGGCGUAAAGCGUCUGUAGGUGGUUUAAUAAGUCAACUGUUAAAUCUUGAGGCUCAACCUCAAAAUCCGCAGUCGAAACUAUUAGGCUAGAGUAUAGUAGGGGUAAAGGGAAUUUCCAGUGGAGCGGUGGAAAUGCGUAGAGAUUGGAAAGAACACCGAUGGCGAAGGCACUUUACUGGCUAUUACUAACACUCAGAGACGAAAGCUAGGGUAGCAAAUGGG